rnacentral:lncRNA from 1 species
GCGGCUGCUGGGAGGAUGGGACAAGGCUCCUGAUUAUUAGGGUUGGACCUAGUAUAUAUAUGGCAGGUGGAAAUAGUUAGGGGCUAUCGGAUCCCUCCGAUCGUAAUCGGACGGUCGCGAAUAAAAUAGCUAGGGAGUCCAAAUAAGAAAACGGUGACGUUUUGUAGACGUUUGGAGAUGACCCGGACACAACGGUGACGGUUGCCCGGGUCGGGUCCGGGACAACUUUCGGACGCGCGCGCGAGGGGGGCCGCGGGCUGACGAGAGAGCUUAAGUUGGAUCUGGCGGUAUGUAGUGAGCCGUGUAGACGGUCUCGAGCUGAGAGAAGAGAAGAGAUGGAGGCCCGGCGACUGUUUCCGAAGACCGAAAACGCCCGACAUUUUGACCGGCUACUAUUGCCGCUAUAUUGAUUCAUUGGGGCGUCAAACGGACUCCGAAUGCGAUGAAACUUGGCAGGCGGCCUACUAACAACAAAACAACACCGCAUGCCAACUUUCAUCCCAUUCCAAGAACAUUUUCCAGCCACUUCUAAAAUACUAUUUCGGACAUGCCGCGGGCGCGUGCAAGGGUGGUUGGGCUCAGAACGGACAACGGAGAGAACUCAAAGAACCCGGACGAAUGCAAGUUUUAAAACAUGAUGAUGCAAUGCACAUGAUGACAUGACAAGAUGCGACACGCAAGCGAAUGACAUGGUAACGACAGCGAAUAACUGGACGACACCUGGCACAUCGGUCUCGGGGCGUCACAACACUCCACCACUACGAGAGGAUCUCAUCCCGAGAUCUAGAAUGGCACCGGAGGGACAACGGAAGAGAAAGCGGAGAGGUAAGGCUUAGUUGCUUCUUUGACAAACGAGUGAAACCAAAGAACCUUGAAAAGGUUAAGCCAUUUCGAGAAAAUAAUACACGGAGAUGAACGAAGUUGAAAGCACUCCGUUAAGAAAGAGGAACAAGAAAGAACCGAUACGGGUAGCACUUCAGUUGAAAAGGGAUGAAGCCUUGAUAAAAUGAAAGAUCUUGAGAAAAAGGGGCACAACACUCCGGUUUAAAGGAUAAGCACAAACAGAACAUGGUCCUGACAAUCCGAGAAGAUGGGUUAAAAAGAGCCACAUCACAAUGCCUCCGGUACACAAGAAUAGAAGAUAGAUAAUUGAAAUGAAAGAAUGGAGAAGAAAAUGCCAUCUUAUGACACAAAAGAGCUUGAAAAGGCAUCUUUAGAAGAAGGGUCAAACGGAAUUGUUGGAAAACCAACGAUGAAAAGAGUAAGCUUAUUGUGGGCUUAUGGAAGACAACUCAAAAUUAUGAGGUGAAAUUCUGCCACUCACGGAAAAGAUUUGAUUGGAUUGAUAUGACAAGGAGACGAGAAACUUAUUCCACCGGGAGGAUAAAAGAAGAACUUGGGUCAUUUAUAAGCACCAUAAUUAGCAACAAUCCUUAGGGAAAGCUUUAGGUGAAAUAUAAUCCAAGAUAACUUCAAUGAAGAGGUUGAUGGAUUGAGAAGAGCGCAUGCUCGAAGAAAUUGAUGGGUUUAAACUAUCUCAUACUUGACAACUUGUGAAUCAUGAAACAUGAAGGGACAUUGUCAAGAAAGACAUAACACCAUCUCAAAAGAUAAGGGGAAACAAUUCCACUCCGGAUUGGAAGAUGAAGAAUGCUUGAGCUCCUUAGAAAAGAAUCUCGAUGAAAACUUCAAGAUGGAAUUAAAUCCUUUAUGAAACAUCAUGUAGAGCCUCCAUGAAGAACUCCGGUAAUCAAACGGAUGACAAAAGAAAGAGAAGUUGAGAAUAUAAGGUGAAGCCUUGAAAUGAUAAAAUGGAGCUUUGCGACAAGAUAAAUGAGAGAUCUUGAAACUCCGGGAAGAGAAAAGAUGAACAAAAGAAAAUCAAGAAUUUAUUCAUCAUGAACAAACUUCGAAGGAAGGAAUUUAUCACUUAGAUGAACAAGAAUAAGGAUUACGUUAUGCGUAUCCUUCACCAAUUUAAAUUGAUGACAAAACAACGGAUUUGGCAUACUACUUAUUCUCAUAGAAAGAUUAAGGUAGAUAUAGCGCAAACUUGAGAAAGUCUUCAACGAUCCACCGGUAGAAUUUGAAAAGCACGAACGCAUAGAUAUGAUACAUGAAGGAAGAAAACUCUUGAACGAACCACCGUAAGAAUUGAAAAGAACGAUUAAAACAUGAAGACACACCGGGAAGAAUUAGCAAUUAACCGAAGAUACUUGAGAGAAUUUAAAUCCAUGAAAACGAAGAGAUUACGAGCUGAUUAGAGAAUCCUUGAUUUAAGCAGCGGUAUGAUUUAGAGUAUGAGAGCUGAAAGCUAGAAUGAAUAACUUUGAGAUGAUGGGCUCCGGAUAAUCAAACUGAAAAGUCUCCUGAAUUGCUCCGGAAGGGUGAAAAGAAUUCUCACAACCGAAAAUAAUUAUGAGAGAAUGGCAUAAAGCUAGAAUCACGAAUCUUGAAGAGAAAAGAGCAAGAUUGAAAGAAGAAUCUUCUUCGGUCUUCCAAAAUCAGAGAAUGACGAUGAGAAACACCACCAUGAUAAUUGAUGAGACACUUUGGAAUGAAGAAUGGAAAGGUAGAGCCAACAGUGAAAAGAAUUUAACCGAUCUUGGAGAAAGGCAUUUGACUGAUGGUAAAUCAUUCUUACGUCAAACUUUGACAAGAAAUUUGAGGAUAUCUCCGGGAAAUAAGAAGAGUCAGGUAAGAUCCUGGGAAAAGACUCGUGGGUUAGGGCCCACUGAAAAGAAAACACCGUUGAAAAGAUUAAAAAGAGAGGUUGCACCAGUUGAAUUAAAAGGCUUGAAUGAGAUAACAACCUCGAAAGAUCUUGAACGAAAGCAGAGUGGAAAACAUGAAUCUUCGAGAUAUCUUGAGCACUCUGAAACAAUUGAAUAGCGAGAAAUGGAAGCUUAUGAGGUGCACCGGCAUAAGAAGGUAUGAUCAACAAAACUUGACUUGAAUCCACCGAAGAAGAAAAAGAACGAAGAACGAUGAACUUGAAGCUCCCUUAGCAUCUUUGUGAGAAUCACCAGAUAAGAACAUUGACGAAAAAGAAUGGAAAGACUUCACAUCAAUAAGAUGGAUACUUGAUUAAGAAAUCUGAAUCCUUGAAGGAAAAAGGGUGGGUGAGCGGGAAAACAAAUACAACUUGGGGACGUAUGAAACAAACACCGUUGAGAAGAACUGAUACUUGAUCUUGUGGAUGUUGCAAUGAUCGGAUCCACUUGAAGAGAAGUACACCGGUGAAAAGAAAUUGAAAUGACAAACUCGAUGAUCGAGAAGGAUUAGUAUUCACAUAGAAAUAUGAGAACACCAUUUGGGGAAGGUAUGGAAUCAACACUUGACAUUGAAGCAACUCGAAUACCACAACUCAAAACAAAACAAAGGAUUGGCUUGCAGAAUAAGCCAGAACAAACAUAUGAUAGAGAUUUCGUCCGAAGUUUUCGUGGUGGGGCCUACACGGGCUCGAUCGUAUAGCACCAUCAUGUACAAGGCAGUGCAUAUGACAUACGAAGCGUCCCCGAGUCGGCAUAGCCAAGGACUCUUUAAGACACAACGAGACCACUGUAAAACCAACCGUGAAUAGGCGGACCACUAGACGUCGAACCCCAAUUUCAUAUCAUAUAUCCGUCGGAAAGAUAUCCUAAGAGCUACUUGAAUUCCCUCUUAUAAACUCCCGAAAUUUUCCGGUUAUGCAAUCGGGUGUUGGGGAUACAGGGGAAGCAUAAUAUCUCACCCAAAACUAGCAAAUCCUACAUCCAGCUGUAUCCAUCCUUCAACACAUAACCAAGAAACCUUCAGAAAUCGUCUACCUCAACCUUCGAAAAGCAUCCGUUAUACAAGUUAUGGCAAUACUCCCGAACUCCCACCCCGGUACUGGGUGGCGUCGAGGUUAUCUCACCAACAACUGCAUAAAAGAGAUUUUCGAUGUCGGCGAACUAAACUCAGGUAUUCCAGAACUGCAACGAUAAAAUUGUGACGACAACACCUCGGAGCUCAACUCCCCGGGACACUGCCACAACCCCUAAAUGUCAGGAGGCACCAAGAACAAUGUUCUCGUCACAAAACCAUCAGAACGAUUCCAAGAUACCCGCGUGAUCCUAAAAAAAAUUAAGUGAAAUUUGAGAAGAGAAGAGUCAAAACUCUACGUCAGGAUGCCUCACCAGAGCGAAGAAGGGACUAGGAAGUAAAAAGAAUUCCUAAACUCUCCGAUAUAUAAUUCCUAAAUGACUCAAAACAUUUUUCUAGACACAUCUCGGCUGCUAAAAACGAUCAAGCAAUGGGGGCUCCUAAGGUCGGGGAAGGCUUUGAUUACCAACUUGUAACACCCUCGAUGCGGCUAUAUCUCCCACGUGUCGAAGCACGACUUAGAGGCAUAACCGCAUUGAAAGCAAUGUCGCAAGUGAGGUAAUCUUCACACAACCCAUGUAAUACAAUAAGGGAAAAGAGAUACAUAGUUGGCUUACAAUCGCCACUUCACACAAUUACAUGAAUAAAGCAUUACAUCACCCAAAUACAAUCAAGGCCCGACUACGGAGCCAAAAUAAAAGAAGAACCCCAAAUGCGACAAGGUCCCCCGAUCGACCCCAACUGGGCUCCACUACUGAUCAACUGGAACGAAACAACACAAAGGACAAGAUCUUCAUCGAGCUCCUCCUGAGCUUGGUUGCGUCAUCUGCACGGUUCAACGACACCUGCAAGCUGGUUUUGGAAGUAUCUGUGAGUCACGGGGACUCAGCAAUCUCGCACCCUCGCGAUCAAGACUAUUUAAGCUUAUGGGUAAGGUAAAGGUAUGAUGUGGAGCUGCAGCAAGCGACUAGCAUAUAUGGUGGCUAACAUACGCAAAUGAGAGCGAGAAGAGAAGGCAAAGCACGGUCGAUAGAACUAUGAUCAAGAAGUGAUCCUAAAACAACCUACGUCAAGCAUAACUCCAACACCGUGUUCACUUUCCGGACUCCGCCGGAAAGAGACCAUCACGGUAACACACACAGUUGGUUCAUUUUAAUUAAGGUCAACUUCAGGUUUUCUGCAACCGGACAUUAACAAAUUCCCAUCUGCCCAUAACCACGGGCACGGCUUUCGAAAGUUCAAAUCCCUGCAGGGGUGUCCCAACUUAGCCCAUCACAAGCUCUCACGGUCAACGAAGAAUAUUCCUUCUAGCGGGAAGACCCGAUCAGAGUCGGAAUCCCGGUUACAAGACAUUUCGACAAUGGUAAAACAAGACCAGCAAAGCCACCCGAAUGUGCCGACAAAUCCCGAUAGGAGCUGCACAUAUCUCGUUCUCAGGGCACACCGGAUUGUCCAAACUUCCGGUAGGCCAGCCCAGAGUUGCCCCUGGUGGCCACCGGCGGCUGACAAGUUGGACCAACACUCAGAGGAGCACUGGCACGGGGUUUUAAAUAAAGAUGACCCUUGAGCCGGCCGACUCAAGGGAAAUAAAAGGCUAGGUGGCGAAUGGUAAAACCAAUGUUGGGCCUUGCUGGAGGAGUUUUAUUCAAGGCGAACUGUCAAGGGGUUCCCAUUAUACCCAACCGCGUAAGGAACGCAAAAUCCGGGAACAUAACACUGAUAUGACGGAAACUAGGGCGGCAAGAGUGGAACAAAACACCAGGCAUAAGGCCGAGCCUUCCACCCUUUACCAAGUAUAUAGAUGCAUUAAUUAAAUAAGAUAUAUUGUGAUAUUCCAACAAGUAAACAUGUUCCAACAAGGAACAACAUCUCCAUGUUCCAACAAGGAACAAACUUCAAUCUUCACCUGCAACUAACAACGCUAUAAGAGGGGCUGAGCAAAGCGGUAACAUAGCCAAUCAACGGUUUGCUAGGACAAGGUGGGUUAGAGGCUUGGUUCAACAAUAUAGGGGGCAUGAUAAGCAAGUGGUAGGUAUCGCAGCAUAGGCAUAGCAAAAGAGCGAGCAACUAGCAAGCAAAGAUAGAAGUGAUUUCGAGGGUAUGGUCAUCUUGCCUGAGAUCCCGCAAGGAAGAAGAAUGAGUCCAUGAAGAAGACAAACGAACGUAGACGAACGGAUCCUCACAAACGCGACGUUACCGGAUUACCGAGACGAAGUACACCGGAAAGAAAGCAAACAACAUAGUAAACAACCACCACAUAAGCAUGGCACGAUGCGCAAACAAGUAAGAUGCAUGACCAGUUUAAUGAGGCAUGGCAAAAAGCACAAACAAUCCUACAAAUUAAGUGGAGCUCAUUAUGCAACAGAGUUGCAUAUUGAAGAAAACACCACAUGACUUAUUUAGUUCUCUCUCGUUUAUGUACCCAAUAAGAUUAAAUGUUGUUAGCAUGGCAAGAGGUGUCACAUGAUGAAACUAUCUAAUCUAGGCAAGGUUAAAUGAGGCCGGAAGCAACGAACAACAAAUCCGGAAACUCCUCAUGUGCAUAUAUUAGGUUUGUUACUGUUCUUCCCUAAACACAAUUUUAGGGUUAUUAAACAUGCAAAGUGAGUACACCAUGUUAAACUAGGCAUUUUUCUACCCCAUUUACAUAUAAAGUUUAUUAAAAUCCGAGUUACGGUUAUUUAAUUAUGAAUUAAAUCAUUUUAACAUGGCAUAGGAGCAAAUUUAAUCAAACAUCAUUUUAAACAUUUUAAAAAUAGAUGAAAAUGGCAAAUUAUGGAACUAGACAAAAUUCUAAGCAAGUUUCAUAUAUAAUUUAUUUAGAUCCGAUGCACGGUUGUGAAGUUAUUAAAUGCAUGAAGAACAGGGGCUUAUCUGCAAAGCUGUCUAUCUCUAAAAAUUAGACAAAAUUCUCAGCGGGAAAAAAAAGGCACCUCGGGCCGAAUCUGUUGGCCCAACAACAGAAAAAAAAUAGAGGGGCUUCGGCGGGGUGGCUUCACCAUGGCUUUGGCCCAGCUGAAGAGGAAGGAGGCUGGUCGCUGGGCCUGCAGCGGUGUGGCCUAGCUCGAUGGAUCUGGAGGUCGAUGGGCCACUCCAGAUCGAGGCGACUCCAGAUCGAGGUGAGGCCGGGUCCAGGCGAAGUCAACGCGGGCGAGGUCUUCGCUCUCUCGAAGGAAACAGAGGAUGCAGCGCUAGGGGCCGAGGCGAUGCAGACAAGGGUCAACGACAGCGACGCGACGCGGUAGGAGCUCCAGCGAGGUGGUGGAGGCCGGCGGAAGGGAAGCUCGUUCCUAACGGCGGAGAGGGAGAAUCCGGUCCAGAACAGGGCCGGACGCGAACUUGAAUGGCGGCGCUGGUCCAUGGCAUCGGGCAGGGAGGCACUUCUCUUCGUCCUCCCGCUCGAUGCAGAGGAGGCGACGGCGCGGGACUGCGGGGCUCCGGAGGAAGGGACUUGCGGAGGAGGCUGAUCCGGCGGGGAUCCGAAAGGCGGCGACGAGGACAAACGGCGGCCACGGCGGUCUCCUGGCGUCGGGGAGCUCGGCUCCGUCGCCCAGAAUCUCUACACACAGAGAAAGGACGGAGAGAACAGCGGGAUGAGCGCGGGGAAAAGGGAGCAAGGAAAAGAGAAGAGGCGCGGCGCGACUAGCCUGGUUGAUGACGACGAUGCCCUAGGUGGCGUAGGGUGGAACUCAUGCGCCUGGUUGCUGCUCAUGGUGGCCUCCAGCCAAGCGGACGGCGAUGCACGGGCAGGAAGGAGCAGAGGAGAGGCUCGGACGCAGAGGUGGCUGGGGAUUGAGCCUCCUGCUCGAUCUGUAGACGGGCACGACGAUGAAUCGAAAGGAGGAGGUGGAGGCUUUUGGUUGGUGUGGCGGUGAACACGAGGAGGGGAUGGAAUGGGUUCGAGCGAAGGGGAUCCCGAGGUGGAUCUAGGAGCGGUGGCGGCUGCUGGGAGGAUGGGACAAGGCUCCUGAUUAUUAGGGUUGGACCUAGUAUAUAUAUGGCAGUUGGAAAUAGUUAGGGGCUAUCGGAUCCCUCCGAUCGUAAUCGGACGGUCGCGAAUAAAAUAGCUAGGGAGUCCAAAUAAGAAAAUGGUGACGUUUUGUAGACGUUUGGAGAUGACCCGGACACAACGGUGACGGCUGCCCGGGUCGGGUCCGGGACAACUUUCGGACGCGCGCGCGAGGGGGGCCGCGGGGUGACGAGAGAGCUUAGGUUGGAUCUGGCGGUAUGUAGUGAGCCGUGUAGACGGUCUCGAGCUGAGAGAAGAGAAGAGAUGGAGGCCCGGCGACUGUUUCCGAAGACCGAAAACGUCCGACGUUUUGACC